UCUAAAAGACAUCUUGCUAAAGAAGAAAUUACACAUAUGCACGCACACACACACAGAGCUCUUGAAGAGAUGCAUGUCAAGGAUGUCAUCUUUAUUAAAAAGUCCCCUGCUAAUCCUGAAUAUCAGAUUGAAAAUGUUGGCAGAGUUGCUUCCACGGCUGACAUCUAAGCUGCAGGCAGGACCAUGCUGAUCUUACCCCUGCUCCACAGCUUCUGAUUUAAUUAAAACAAGACAGAUGGAGUGCAGUGUGUUAGUCUGUGUUCACCUGAGUUUCCUUUGUCAUCUCAGAAAAGUGAAGGAAGAAAGAGAGAGUGUCUGGAAACCAACAUUAAACAUUACGGUCAAAAUCUUUCGGAAUAAAGAUGAAGAUGACUCAAUGGUAGAAGCUUCCUGGUGUCUUGUCUACCACUUCUUGAGGUUCAAAGUGAAGGUUUGUCAGUCCAAGAUGGUGUCACGUAGCUUGCUACUCUGGACUUCAGGAGAGCUGACUUUGAACUCUACAGGGAGCUGCUUGGCAGGAUGACAUGGGAGAAAGCCCUGGCAGGAGGAAGGGUCCAAGAAAGCUGGUCAGUACUCAAGGACCUUUUCCUCCAAACCCAGAAGCAGUGCAUCCUGAGAAAGAAGAAGGGGUGUUACAUUUUAUGUGAUGCAUUUCUUUCUCAAGUGAUAAAAGACAACCAUAGAAUCACAGAAUCAUAAUCACCAAGGUUGGAAAAGACCUCCAAGAUCAUCCAGUCCAACCGUCCAUCUACCUUCACUAUUUCCCACUAAACCACGUCCCUUGGUACAACAGCUGAAUGUUUCUUGAAGACCUCCAGGGACGGUCAUUCAACCACAUCCCUGAGCUGAUGGUGCAAGUAUCUUCAUCUUGGUAUGAACUGACAAAGAUUGCAGAAGACCAAGUUUUUACAUUACCUCAUGACCAAACAACUUCUAAAAAUAUUAAAAUUCUCAUUGUCUAGUUCCAAAAAAUUUGCAAAGUUUUUAACAUUCUUAAACAACAACAACAAAAUGGAAAAGCAUGUUAUUAAAGUACAGGAAAAGGUAUAAAAUAUGUUUCACUGGAAUGUAUCAUUAUUUGAUUGAAAAUAAAUAUGUCAUAAAGAUUUUAACUCCAUCACCUUGUUUAAUUCCAGUUUUACCAUUUAUGUGAAUAUCCUCAGAUGCUUUCUAAAAUACAAGGCUGCAAGAGAAGGAGUUUAAAGAAGUCUAUGAAUAGAUUUCCAAUAGGUGUAAGAGAUACGUAAUAGAAAUACAUGGAAAUACACGUUUGAAUUUCAGAAGCCACAAUGAAUCUUUCCUUAAUCUACUUUGAGGAGUGAUACACUAGAGCAC
ensembl:lncRNA